rnacentral:lncRNA from 1 species
AUUGCUCUGGCUAGGACUUCCAGUACUAUGUUGAAGAGGAGUGGUGAGAGUAGGCUCUUCAUCUUGUUCCAGUUCUCAAAGGGAAUGCUUUCACCUUUUCCCCAUUCAGUAUUAUGUUGGCUGUGGGUCUGUCAUAGAUGGCUUUUAUUACAUUAAGACUCAGCUUCGCACUCCAGGGCUGCGUACCACCAGCCACUGUCAUGUUAACCCCUUCCCAGGCCAAUGUGUCCUUGGCCUGGAGCCCGAUCUGCUGGACAGCCUGGGACCGUCCAUUUUCAGGGUGGUGGGCAACCUGGUGGCCAUCGUGGUGCUGUGCAAGUCGCGCAAGGAGCAGAAGGAGACCACCUUCUACACAGUUAUGUGGCUGGCUGCCACCGACCUGUUGUUCACUUUGCUGGUGAGCCAGGUGACCAUCGCCAUGUACAUGAAGGGUGGGUAACCUGGGGGCCAGCUGCUGUGCGAGUACAGCAUCUUCAGCCUGUUCUUCUUCAGUCAGUCCAGCCUCAGCAUCGUCUGUGCCGUGAUAUCUAUACAGGAUGUCUCAACUCAAAUGUGAAAUUUUCAUGGAGAAUAUUUGAACUGUAUUUAGAGUAAUGCAAAUUGCAGUUAAAAAGUUUAAUAUAGAUUUACCAGGGGGCGUGCAGCCUGCUUGCCAAUCAGAUCGCUGCUGAGCGGUCCCACAGCCAACCCCUGAAGAGCAGCCUGCUGGCUUCCCCAGCGCCCAGGAGUUGGGGAUGUCCUACAAACCUACCACCCCUGCCCCCAGCAGCACCCCCGGCUCCAGCACCCCUGGGCCAGGCACUCCGGUCCCUACAGGAAGCGUCCUGUCGCCGUCGGGCUCAGGGCCGGGAGCCACUGCCCCUUUCAGACCGCUGUUUAAAGACUUUGGACCGCCUACCAUCGGUUGUGUGCAGGCCAUGAAACCACCUGGUGCCCAGGGCUCCCAGAGCACCUACACGGAACUGCUGUUGGUCACAGGGGAGAUGGGCAAAGGGAUCUGGCCCACCUAUGCUGGCAGCAAGAGCGCCGUGAAGCGCCUGAAGAGAGGUAUCAUCCAUCCCUAGUCAGAGUGCCUGGUAGAGACAGAGUGGAACGCCCACACUUAACAGGAAGCUCCUAGGCCUCUGUGUCUGGACUCCAGAGCACCUGCUUCUCCCUGGCCUUCAUCCCUAGUUGCACUAACCAUCCUGGGCUUCCUGUCCUGUGUCCCUUGAUGGGUGCCCUCCAGGAACCAAGGGGCGGUUCUCACUCCAGGUGGCAGCACUAAGGACCCCCCUCCCCACCCCACCCCACCAACGCAACAAGAGUUAGCAGCGAGGUCCCCGUGAGUCCCACCCAUGACCUGCCGACAGUGUUGCCCACUGGAACUUUCUGUGGCCCCCACCACUCAGCCCUUCCCAGCACUUGUCCGGACCUCCUUGUCCCUCAGCACAGCUCAGGCCUCAGGCCUGACACUUCCCUGCCUUGUGUCUUUUGCUAAAUAUGACCUUUCUAUAUUAAUAAAAGAUGCUUUGGAGUUGUGCUCUCUAAAAAAAAGUUUAAUAUAAAGGAGAAAUAAAAGGAAAUUUAGCAAAGAAAUAUGUAGAUGAAUAUUUAAAUACUCAGAGGUGACAUUACUACCAGACAUAAUGAGAUUAUCAGAUGUUUCAUUUACUUAUGAUUAAUAUGUUUGUAUUUCUUUUUUAUUCAUUUUAUUUUAUUUAUGUAUUUAUUUAUUUUUAUUAUACUUUAAGUUCUAGGGUACAUGUGCACAACGUGCAGGUUUGUUACAUAUGUAUACAUGUGCUGUGUUGGUUUGCUUCACCCAUUAACCUGUCAUUUACAUUAGGUAUUUCUCCUAAUGCUCUCCCUCCCCAGCCCCCACCCCAUGACAGGCCCCAGUGUGUGAUGUUCCCUUGCCUGUGUCCAAGUAUUCUCAUUGUUUAAUUCCCACCUAUGAGUGAGAAUAUGCAGUGUUUGGUUUUCUGACCUUGCAAUAGUUUAAACAAACUAGGAAGUUCAGAAGUCACUUUACAAGAGAAAUAAAGAAAAAUAAAGUAUUAAUGACAUUGGUAACAGAAUAAAAAUUAGAGUUAGACAAAGUAUUAACAAGCAAGCUUAUAUAUUUAUAAGAGAUGGGAAAAUAUUAGAAAGGAAUAAAUCAUGUCUUGUCAACAUGAAGAAAAAGUGUAUUUUUUUUGUUAACUUAUUAUUGUGUUUCCUUGUAUAAUUUUCACUUGGUUUUGUUGGUUUUACUACUUGCUUCAUUCUUUCAAAAACUACAUCUUCAUAGACCAUUUCAGCUUUUGCUAUGUGGGCAGAAUUAUAAAACCCAAUUUCAAAAUUUCAACUGAACGUUGUCAGCAUUUUUCUUUGGGCUUUUUAUUGAAAAAAAACCUAAGUAAUUGUGUGUGUGUGUAUUUUAGUAUUACCAUGAAUGUAAUAACAAUAAAAUCAAACAAAAACAAAUGGAUAUGCAAUAUGUUGGACUAGCAUCUCAAAUAUGAAAAAGGCAUUGCCAACAGUGAUAUGAUUUUUUUCAAAAUGGUAAGCUUUUUAAAGUAUAAUCUUAUUUUAACCUAAAAUCUUACUAUCAGAAAAUGCAGUGUACAUUAAAAUGUUCUGAAAUGCUUUAUUCACAUUUAUUAAAUGGUUGUACUCACUCAGAUAUCUACAAAUUGGUUUUUCACUUAUGUAAUUAUCUUAUAGAAUGUUCAAAAGUCAUGCAGAAUGUGAGAUAAUUUUCUAUUGAAUAUGAUUGUUUUAUCAUUGCAAGACAUCAAACAUCCCUGUUUCCUGCCAAAUGAAUGUACAAUAGCAAUAAAUGUAAAGAUGUGUUUUUUGGAAAAGACACAUUUUUGAGUUAUAAAACAAGGAUUUUAAAACUUGAAUUGUUACAGUGAGUAUGUCUUAAUAUAGACUACAGUCACUUUAGAUAAAAAAUUACCUCACAUCUAUUUUCAAUAUUACUUAAAGAUGUUCAUUUAGUGGCCAAUAUUUUUUUUUGCCUAGUGGCAGAUAUUUUGCCACAUGGCUAUUUAUGAAACUGUAUUUAAAUGCAUGUACACAUAUAAAAGCUGCCACUGUGGCUGUAAACUAUUACAAGUUAUCAAGAUUAAAAAAUAAACAAAAAAAUUUCA